rnacentral:rRNA from 1 species
AUUGAACGCUGGCGGCAUGCCUUACAUAUGCAAGUCGAACGGCAGCACGGGUGCUUGCACCUGGUGGCGAGUGGCGAACGGGUGAGUAAUACAUCGGAACGUACCUUAUCGUGGGGGAUAACGCAGCGAAAGCUGUGCUAAUACCGCAUACGCCCUGAGGGGGAAAGCGGGGGAUCGCAAGACCUCGCGCGAUUAGAGCGGCCGAUGCCUGAUUAGCUAGUUGGUGGGGUAAAAGCCCACCAAGGCGACGAUCAGUAGCUGGUCUGAGAGGACGAUCAGCCACACUGGGACUGAGACACGGCCCAGACUCCAACGGGAGGCAGCAGUGGGGAAUUUUGGACAAUGGGGGCAACCCUGAUCCAGCAAUGCCGCGUGAGUGAAGAAGGCCUUCGGGUUGUAAAGCUCUUUUGUCAGGGAAGAAACACCGGCUCUAACACAGUCCGGGAAUGACGGUACCUGAAGAAUAAGCACCGGCUAACUACGUGCCAGCAGCCGCGGUAA